rnacentral:rRNA from 1 species
UACGUAGGGGGCAAGCGUUGUCCGGAUUCAUUGGGCGUAAAGAGCUCGUAGGCGGCUUGGCAAGUCGGGUGUGAAACCUCCAGGCUCAACCUGGAGACGCCACCCGAUACUGCCAUGGCUAGAGUCCGGUAGGGGACCACGGAAUUCCUGGUGUAGCGGUGAAAUGCGCAGAUAUCAGGAGGAACACCGGUGGCGAAGGCGGAUCUCUGGGCCAUUACUGACGCUGAGGAGCGAAAGCGUGGGGAGCGAACAGG